UCCCCACAGAGGAGUUUGAAAUUCUUGCUUCAGGCCAUAUGGAGUGGAUAUUCCUUCCAGAAGGAAAUUACAGACCACUCUCUGUUUCUACUCAACUGCUUUUCACUCCAGGAUGCUUCACCUCUUGGGGCCUUCCCCAGCAGAGGCCCAGGAUCACCUGCAAAAGGCUUCCCCAAGGGUGGGGCCAGAAGCAGGGCUGCAGAUAUGUGUCCUGAACCUCCCAUGGACCCUGCUGGCUCCCUUCAAAGGCUUCGGGCAUAGCGACUUGCCUUUCCGUCUUGUUCAGUCGUCACCAGUCAGCCGUCUGCAGACUUCUCUCCCUCACGUUGUGGCAGAGGAGUUGUACAUUCUCUAGAUUUUAAAAAUAUAUAAGUUACUUUUUCUUUAAAAUAAAAAUUGUCUCUGAAA
rnacentral:lncRNA from 1 species